rnacentral:misc_RNA from 1 species
UGUGGGAGCUGGCUUGCCUGCGAUAGCGUUGGUUCAGAGGCAUAGAUGCUAGCUGACCUACCGCUAUCGCAGGCAAGCCAGCUCCCACA